rnacentral:lncRNA from 1 species
GCUUUGUGCCCCUGAGAACUGGCUCCCUGGGAGUGGUGGGCCUGUGUCCUUACUUCUGAAAUGGUGUCACUCAAAGCCAACGUUGGCCAGCAGCAUGAGAAAGAUCCCAGCUGCGGUCUCAGAGGGCAGCGGCAGCAGUGCUAUGCUCUGGUCUCCUUAGGAGAAGGUCCUCAGCUUCACAGAGCAACAGAAUUCCCAGGGGCUGCUCAGCAGACUGCUGGGCACUCCUCCUGGUUGGCACCGGGGUGGGCUGGAGUGAGGUCUGAGAUGUGCAUUCUCUUGGUGAGUCAAUGCUGCUGGCCCAGAGGCCGGGUUUUGGGAACCACUAGCUGGUGACUGGUCAGGAGGUGAGGCUGGAGCCCAGGGUCCGUGGUAUUUGCCAUAUGGCCUUCACCUGCACUCCCAGAGUCAGGAACUUUCCAGGCUGAGAGAUGGCCCUUCACAGGUCUCAACUUCUGUGGUUCUGUGGGAAAAGGAAAUUGCAUGGGAUUUAAAUCACUCGUUUUCUUAUUGUUUACAUUGAUUGGAUUCACAGUAUCUGUUCAAAUACCACGUCACGCCUGCCACAGAACUGGGGUGUCCAAGAGCAGGAGGGAUUGAUUGGCCUGCCCUGGAGGUUUCAGAGCUGGUGGCAGAAAGGAAAGGGCACCUAUGCAUUCACUCUGCCCCCACCAUACCAAGGUCAAAAUGGCUGCGGGAUGGAGUUUUGAACGGGAUGUUUAGUGUUUUAACUUAAUGUUUAAAUUAAAUAUGUGCAUGUUUUUCUAUGUGGCUGUUAGUUUUUGCUGACGUUAUUCUCUACAAGAGAUAAAUGUAAUAUUCUUUAUCAUUAAAACUUUUACUUAAACAUUCCCUGAUAACAUGAGUAGUGUGAGCAAGGAAAACAAUCUGUGUGUGUUGUAUUUUGAUUUCACUGACCUGUGACUGCUCACACGCUGCUCUACAGAUCACACUGGACCUGGUCUCCUGACGGUGGGCGCUGCGGCUCUCACCCUCUAGGGAGCUGGGUGCAGACUCAUCUCAUCACUGUUAGCUGCAGAAUGAUUGCCGCAGGCUUCAAAGCCAGAACCCAAAACUAAGAGUUAAACUUCAUCCAUUUACCACCACAGAGUCACUCUGAAUCACCCUACCUCUGUGCGCUGCAUGAAAUCUGGCUGGACUUUGUGAUGUGAACC